rnacentral:rRNA from 1 species
AUACGGAGGGUGCAAGCGUUAUUCGGAAUCACUGGGCGUAAAGGGUGCGUAGGCGGUUUGAUAAGUCUGAUGUGAAAUCCUAUGGCUCAACCAUAGAACUGCAUUGGAAACUGUCAGACUAGAAUACUGAAGGGGCAGAUGGAAUUAGUGGUGUAGGGGUGAAAUCCGUAGAUAUCACUAGGAAUACCGAAAGCGAAAGCGAUCUGCUGGGAAGUUAUUGACGCUGAGGCACGAAAGCGUGGGGAGCAAACGGGAUUAGAAACCCUUGUAGUCC